AGAGUUUGAUCCUGGCUCAGGAUGAACGCUAGCGACAGGCCUAACACAUGCAAGUCGAGGGGCAGCGGAGAGGUAGCAAUACCUUUGCCGGCGACCGGCGCACGGGUGAGUAACACGUAUGCAAUCCACCUGUAACAGGGGGAUAACCCGGAGAAAUCCGGACUAAUACCCCAUAAUAUGGGCUCUCCGCAUGGAGGGUCCAUUAAAGAGAGCAAUUUUGGUUACAGACGAGCAUGCGCUCCAUUAGCCAGUUGGCGGGGUAACGGCCCACCAAAGCGACGAUGGAUAGGGGUUCUGAGAGGAAGGUCCCCCACAUUGGAACUGAGACACGGUCCAAACUCCUACGGGAGGCAGCAGUGAGGAAUAUUGGUCAAUGGUCGGCAGACUGAACCAGCCAAGUCGCGUGAGGGAAGACGGCCCUACGGGUUGUAAACCUCUUUUGUCGGAGAGUAAAGUACGCUACGUGUAGCGUAUUGCAAGUAUCCGAAGAAAAAGCAUCGGCUAACUCCGUGCCAGCAGCCGCGGUAAUACGGAGGAUGCAAGCGUUAUCCGGAUUUAUUGGGUUUAAAGGGUGCGUAGGCGGCACGCCAAGUCAGCGGUGAAAUUUCCGGGCUCAACCCGGAGUGUGCCGUUGAAACUGGCGAGCUAGAGUACACAAGAGGCAGGCGGAAUGCGUGGUGUAGCGGUGAAAUGCAUAGAUAUCACGCAGAACCCCGAUUGCGAAGGCAGCCUGCUAGGGUGAAACAGACGCUGAGGCACGAAAGCGUGGGUAUCGAACAGGAUUAGAUACCCUGGUAGUCCACGCAGUAAACGAUGAAUACUAACUGUUUGCGAUACAAUGUAAGCGGUACAGCGAAAGCGUUAAGUAUUCCACCUGGGGAGUACGCCGGCAACGGUGAAACUCAAAGGAAUUGACGGGGGCCC
rnacentral:rRNA from 1 species